CCAGGGUGUCGCUGGCAUUGGCAUGAUGUCCGCUGGGUACGUAAAAAGGUCACUAAGGCUCCUCUGUCUCUUUGUAGGAGCUGUAUGACUUGAAAUGAUGAAGACCAACUGUAUUAAAAUGUUUGAAGCAUUCUCUAGGUUCUUCAUCCAUAUGGCACCACUUCGCCAGAAACAAAACAAAAAAGCAAAGUAUUGAAAAGCACAAGUGUUGAUAUAUUUUAUAUAAUUACAUUGCUGGUUCAUAUUGUAAUGGGAUAAAUGGUUUGAGGCUGUCAGAUUAGCACCAGGGAAUUAUGUAUCCUGGGUAGACAUCCAGCCAAGCCUCGGUGUAUCUCCAUUUCAGUGUCAGUUACGUUGUAGAUUAGUGACUCUCAUGAUUGCUUCAAGUAUAUUUCCUAUGUAUAAUUAGGCUUUUUGCUGACAAUAUAUUUGUUAUUUCUAG